GAUUAAGCCAUGCAUGUGUAAGUAUAAAUAAUUUUACUUUGAAACUGCGAAUGGCUCAUUAUAUCAGUUAUAGUUUAUUAGAAAUACUUUACUACUUGGAUAACCGUAGUAAUUCUAGGGCUAAUACAUGAMUAAAUCCUCAACUUCGGAAGAGGUGUGUUUAUUAGUAUGAAAACCAUAUAUCUUCGGAUAUAAUAGUGAGUAAUAAUAACCUUUCAUAUCGUAUGUCGUAAGAUAACGAUAGUUCUUUCAAGUUUCUGCCCUAUCAGCUUUCGAUGGUAGUAUAUGGGACUACCAUG
rnacentral:rRNA from 1 species